rnacentral:tRNA from 1 species
ACUUGGCUGGCUCAGUUUGGUACAGUGUGUGACUCUUGAUCUCGAGAUCAUGAGUUCGAGCCCCAUGCUGGGUG